GGGUCUAUAGCUCAGUUGGUUAGAGCGCUUCCUUGACAUGGAAGAGGUCAGCGGUUCGAAUCCGUUUAGACCCA
rnacentral:tRNA from 1 species